AAUUAUUUUGCUUUAGUUCUUUGAUCAGUUUUCAUAUUUUCCAUCAUUCUCCCCAUUUUCGCUCUUGGGAGAAGGAGAAGAAGCGACCUACAAUGGAGGUGUUACAUUUUCGUAGAGGGAGAGCAAAUUGAUGGAAAAUUAGAGGGUCUAUCCAUUGCCUCAAUAAUGUUCGCUCCACGGAGACAGCUAAAUUUCAAAGAGGCACUGACUGGGUGUCGAAUGAACAGUGUACUGGUCUGUCUCAUUUACGGAAAAGAAGAUCUAUGGGUGACACCUAUUUGGGAUUUACAAGUGAAACGUUAGUUCCUGAAAGCUCCAUAUAAUCAUAUUAGUCUCACCGCCCCCAUGAUGAAGUCCCAGAGCGUCCUCCUCCCUUUGACCUUACGGGAGAGACAAUACCACUAUGUUGCCAUUUGAAUUUAAAAGCUUGGCGUGCUUGAAAGUGAGAUAAGAAUGAACUUUAUACUCAUAUUAACCAAGGUGUACUCGUUUUGUCUCCAUUAUUUCUCUAGACCCAAGCCAUCAACGGAGCUUGUUCGAACAAAGGUGAAGGCGCCUUGCGGUUCUCCUAUAUAUUAGUGUGUAUGUAUGAGUUACAAUUUAUGAUAGAAAGAACACAUUCCGAAGAAAUUAUAUUAAAACUCAGUCUCAAUGUAUUCACAUAAAUUUUAUCCUAAACAUGUUUUAUUGAUGUCUCAAGAUUUUGAUUUAAA